UGAGGAAUAUUGGGCAAUGCCCGGAAGGGUGACCCAGCAACGCCGCGUGAAGGAUGAAGGUCGUAAGAUUGUAAACUUCUUUUGAUGGGGACGAAAAAGCGGAGUAACACUCUGCAUUGACUGUACCCAUAGAAAAAGCCCCGGCUAACUACGUGCCAGCAGCCGCGGUAAUACGUAGGGGGCAAGCGUUGUCCGGAUUUACUGGGUGUAAAGGGCGCGUAGGCGGAUCUAUAAGUCGGUGGUGAAAUCCUGCAGCUUAACUGCAGAACUGCCGUCGAUACUGUGGAUCUUGAGUUCGGAAGAGAGUAGCGGAAUUCCAGGUGUAGUAGUGAAAUACGUAGAUAUCUGGAAGAACACCAGUGGCGAAGGCGGCUACUUGGUCCGUAUCUGACGCUGAGGC
rnacentral:rRNA from 1 species